UAUGGUAAUUGUUCAGCCGCCGCGGUACUACGGAGGAUGCGAGCGUUAUCCGGAUUUAUUGGGUUUAAAGGGAGCGCAGACGGGUCGUUAAGUCAGCUGUGAAAGUUUGGGGCUCAACCUUAAAAUUGCAGUUGAUACUGGCGUCCUUGAGUGCGGUUGAGGUGUGCGGAAUUCGUGGUGUAGCGGUGAAAUGCUUAGAUAUCACGAAGAACUCCGAUUGCGAAGGCAGCACACUAAGCCGUAACUGACGUUCAUGCUCGAAAGUGUGGGUAUCAAACAGG
rnacentral:rRNA from 1 species